UGCUGCUGUAAUGUAUAGCAUGGCAACUAUGAUGGCAAUAAUACUCUAUUGCAUCUUUGAACAUCGUUAACAAAGCAAAGUUUAAAAGUUCUUACCACAAGCAAAAAAAUACUGUAAUAUGUGUGGUGAUGGAUGUUAACUAGACUUAUUUUGGCAACCCUUCCACAAUAUAUACAAAUAUCAAAUAAUUAAGUUCUGCACUUGAAACUAAUGUUGUAUGUCAAUUAUACCUCAAUUUUAAAGUGUCCAUUAAUAAAUAUAUCAUUCUGUUCACUCUGACCUAAGGCCCUCAUAGGGUGAAAAGACCAGUAGCGUUUCUUCAUGAUGGGGAGGUUUUCUAAUAACACAGGAUCACAUAGCUCUAUAUGAAAAUAUUUAAAAACUAACCUCAAGGGACAUUUGGUACAAAUACUAUUUAUACUAUGCAAAUACUUUUAAAAAGUACUGCAGUUUCUGAGAAGUUGAUCAUAAGACAGAUUAGGAGGAAGAAAAAAAAUCCAGACCAGCAAUUUACAAAUCAGCUCCUCUAGGACAGAAGAUGUACUUAACAAACAAACUUUUUUCAAGACACAGAGACCCAGAUCAGACUUCUUCCAUGGCUGCGCUUGCUGGUCUCCACACAAUGAGAAAUAGAUACUUAAGGUUGCUGCCAGCCUCAGGACUCUUGCUGCUGUUUUUGCCAUUGGGAUUUGCAGCCCUGGAAACAAGAUCCUGUGCUUGGUGGUGCCCUCCAAACCCUCCGUGUAUCAAUGCCGAUAACUGCCGUUGCUUUCCAGGAUUUGGUUCUUCAUCUGAGGUGACAUUCACUGGCCCCUUGGAGAGUUGUGAUGGUAUGGAGCCUUGGGGUGGUAGAAAUGUUCACACAAAUUUGGGGAGAGAUUGUGGUGCAUCCAUAGCCUUCAACCCUAAGAGAAGAACGGAGGCACUUUUCAAUAAAGCAGAGACUUUAGAAUAAGAAUGUAUAAGUGAAAUGGGCAAUCAGGUUUGCAUGAUGAGUAGAUAGAGAGUUAAUUUUUUUCUUUUAAUUUUAUAGGCUAUGAAAAGUUUAUAGUUUUAUGAGGUUUCAAGGUAGCCUUAUUUUUUUAAUUAUCAAAUUUGAGCUCAAAGAGAUUGAGUGACUUGUUCCAAAGUCACACAACUAAUAAAGUGGUAGAAACAGAUCCAGGUCUAAAGCAAAACAGAAUCACCAAAAGAAAAUUAUAAUACUUAAAAAUUGUUAUGGGAGUUCCCAUCGUGGCACAGCAGAAAUGAAUCCAACUAGGAACCAUGCAUUUGUGGGUUCCAUCCCUGACCUCGCUCAGUGGGUUAAGCAUCUGGUGUUGCCGUGAGCUGUGGUGUAGGUUGCAGACACAGUUCAGAUCUGGCAUUACUGUGGCUGUGGUGUGGGCCAGCAGCUACAGCUCCGAUUAGACCCCUAGCCUGGGAACCUCCAUAUGCUGUUGGUAUGGCCCUCUUUUUAGACAAAAAAAAAUUGUUAUGGUGGAAAUUUUUGUUUUAGGUAUUUUACCCAUUUUUUUAAAUAAUUUUUUUUUAUUUUCCCACUGUUACAGCGAGGGGGUCAGGUUAUCCUUACAUGUAUACAUUACAAUUACAUUUUUCCCCCACCCUUUCUUCUGUUGCAACAUGAGUAUCUAGACAAAGUUCUCAAUGCUAUUCAGCAGGAUCUCCUUGUAAAUCUAUUCUAAGUUGUGUCUGAUAAGCCCAAGCUCCCGAUCCCUCCCACUCCCUCCCCCUCCCAUUUUUAAAUGAGAGAAAAGAAAAUAGCUUCGACAUCAAGACUCUUCAUCUACUCAAAAUAGUAUUAGAUAUAUAAUUAUUGAUAAUAAAAAUAUACCUAUUGCUUUAAAAAAUGAGUGAAAAAUACUCCUAACAUUUUCUAGGAAGCUGUGUAGUGGAUUUAUGGGUGAUUCUAUUUGUUUUCACUUUUUUUUACUCUUUCUUUGUUUUCUAAGUAUACGUGUGUCAUUUAAUAUUGAAGGAAAAGUAAAUUUUAUCAGAGAAAAAAAGAUGCGAUAACUGCACAGUCCUUCCAUGACCCAAAA
rnacentral:lncRNA from 1 species